GUGAACCAGUACCGUGAGGGAAAGGCGAAAAGAACCCCGGCGAGGGGAGUGAAAAAGAACCUGAAACCGUGUACGUACAAGCAGUGGGAGCACAGGUUUACCUGUGUGACUGCGUACCUUUUGUAUAAUGGGUCAGCGACUUAUAUUCUGUAGCAAGGUUAACCGUAUAGGGGAGCCGAAGGGAAACCGAGUCUUAACCGGGCGUUAAGUUGCAGGGUAUAGACCCGAAACCCGGUGAUCUAGCCAUGGGCAGGUUGAAGGUUGGGUAACACUAACUGGAGGACCGAACCGACUAAUGUUGAAAAAUUAGCGGAUGACCUGUGGCUGGGGGUGAAAGGCCAAUCAAACCGGGAGAUAGCUGGUUCUCCCCGAAAGCUAUUUAGGUAGCGCCUCGUGAAUUCAUCUCCGGGGGUAGAGCACUGUUUCGGCUAGGGGGCCAUCCCGGCUUACCAACCCGAUGCAAACUGCGAAUACCGGAGAAUGUUAUCACGGGAGACACACGGCGGGUGCUAACGUCCGUCGUGAAGAGGGAAACAACCCAGACCGCCAGCUAAGGUCCCAAAGUCAUGGUUAAGUGGGAAACGAUGUGGGAAGGCCCAGACAGCCAGGAUGUUGGCUUAGAAGCAGCCAUCAUUUAAAGAAAGCGUAAUAGCUCACUGGUCGAGUCGGCCUGCGCG
rnacentral:rRNA from 1 species